UACGUAGGGUGCAAGCGUUGUCCGGAAUUAUUGGGCGUAAAGAGCUCGUAGGCGGUCUGUCGCGUCGGCUGUGAAAACUCGGGGCUCAACCCCGAGCCUGCAGUCGAUACGGGCAGACUAGAGUGCUGUAGGGGAGACUGGAAUUCCUGGUGUAGCGGUGAAAUGCGCAGAUAUCAGGAGGAACACCUGCGGUGUAGACGGCUUACUGGACCAUGACUGACGCUGAGGCACGAAAGCGUGGGGAGCAAACAGG
rnacentral:rRNA from 1 species